rnacentral:rRNA from 1 species
UGGUUAAACAAGGAAGGGCGCACGGUGGAUGCCUUGGCACUAGGCGCCGAUGAAGGACGGGACGAACACCGAUAUGCUUCGGGGAGCUGUAAGUAUGCUUGGAUCCGGAGAUGUCCGAAUGGGGGAACCCCUUCUCCGUCAUGGGAGAAGAUCAUCUGCCCAACUAAUUAAGCAGAUGAAGGCAGACCCGGCGAACUGAAACAUCUUAGUAGCCGGAGGAAGAGAAAGCAAACGCGAUUUCCUGAGUAGCGGCGAGCGAAACGGAAGCGAGCCCAAACCGGACGGCUUGCCGUCCGGGGUUGAAGGACACGCCAUACGGAGUGACAAAGGGGCGGCGUAGCGGAAGCGGCUUGGAACGGUCCGCCAUAGCAGGUAAGAGCCCUGUACGCGAAACGCUGCCCUCUCCGGCGUGGAUCCUGAGUACGGCGGGACACGAGAAACCCCGUCGGAAGCAGGGAGGCCCAUCUCCCAAGGCUAAAUACGACCUAGUGACCGAUAGUGAACCAGUACCGUGAGGGAAAGGUGAAAAGCACCCCGGGAGGGGAGUGAAAGAGAACCUGAAACCGUGUGCCUACAGGUGGUCAGAGCCCGUUCAUGGGUGAUGGCGUGCCUUUUGUAGAAUGAACCGGCGAGUGACGAUGGCGUGCGAGGUUAAGUUGAAGAGACGGAGCCGCAGCGAAAGCGAGUCUGAAGCGGGCGCAGAGUACGUCGACGUCGACCCGAAACCGUGUGAUCUACCCAUGUCCAGGGUGAAGGUCGGGUAACACCGACUGGAGGCCCGAACCCACGUAAGUUGAAAAUUACGGGGAUGAGGGGUGGGUAGGGGUGAAAUGCCAAUCGAACACGGAGAUAGCUGGUUCUCCCCGAAAUAGCUUUAGGGCUAGCCUCGGAGGAAGAGUCCUGGAGGUAGAGCACGGAUUGGAUGAGGGGUCCCCACAGGAUUACCGAGUUCAGUCAAACUCCGAAUGCCAGCGACUUGGUUUCCGGGAGUCAGACGGCGAGUGCUAAGAUCCGUCGUCAAGAGGGAAACAGCCCGGACCACCGGCUAAGGUCCCCAAGUAUGGAUUAAGUGGGAAAGGAUGUGGCGUUGCUUAGACAACCAGGAUGUUGGCUUAGAAGCAGCCAUCAUUGAAAGAGUGCGUAAUAGCUCACUGGUCGAGUGACGCUGCGCCGAAAAUGUACCGGGGCUAAAUCCAUCACCGAAGCCGUGGAUGUUAGAGGUGGGAAGUGAGACGUGAGAAGUGGGAAAAGGAGAUAAAGAUGAUUAAAACGUAUCGAGAUUUAAGGGUAUAUGAACUAUCAUACAAUCUCGGGAAAGAUAUUCAUCAAGUGACUCAUCAAUUCCCUGAUUAUGAAAGGUUAGAGUUAGGAAGACAGCUAAGAAGAGCUUCCACAUCGAUCCCUUUACUAUGGGAUCAAUACGAACAACUAGGCAAACAACUGUCUGUUCUUCAUCAAAAGUGGAAGUAGUUGGUUUUGAAUUUCUCACACCUCUCACAUCUGACCUCUCACCUCUAGCAUGGUAGGGGAGCGUUCGGUGUGCCGGGAAGGCCGACCGUGAGGACGGCUGGAGCGCACCGAAGUGAGAAUGCCGGUAUGAGUAGCGAAAAGAAGGGUGAGAAUCCCUUCCGUCGAAAACCUAAGGUUUCCUGAGGAAGGCUCGUCCGCUCAGGGUUAGUCGGGACCUAAGCUGAGGCCGAAAGGCGUAGGCGAUGGAUAACUGGUGGAAAUUCCAGUACCACCGAUGGCUGUCAGACCGAAGGGGGGACGCAGAAAGGUAGGGCGAGCGCGCUGAUGGAGAAGCGCGUCGAAGCGGCCGAGGCUGUUGGGCAGGCAAAUCCGCCCAACGUGAAGGCUGAGGCGUGACCGCGAGGGAAAUGAAGUACCGAAGUCCCCGAUCCUCCGCUGCCGAGAAAAGCCUCUAGGAAGGGCAUCGGUGCCCGUACCGCAAACCGACACAGGUAGGUGGGAUGAGAAUUCUAAGACGCGCGGGAGAACUCUCGUUAAGGAACUCGGCAAAAUGACCCCGUAACUUCGGGAGAAGGGGUGCUCCUUGGGGUUGAUAGCCCCGGGGAGCCGCAGUGACAAGGCCCAAGCGACUGUUUACCAAAAACACAGGUCUCUGCGAAGUCGAAAGACGAAGUAUAGGGGCUGACACCUGCCCGGUGCUGGAAGGUUAAGAGGAGGGCUUAGCGCUUAGGCGCGAAGGUCCGAAUUGAAGCCCCAGUAAACGGCGGCCGUAACUAUAACGGUCCUAAGGUAGCGAAAUUCCUUGUCGGGUAAGUUCCGACCCGCACGAAAGGUGCAACGACUUGGGCACUGUCUCAACGAGAGACCCGGUGAAAUUAUAUGACCUGUGAAGAUGCAGGUCCCCCGCGACUGGACGGAAAGACCCCAUGGAGCUUUACUGUAGCUUGAUAUUGGGUUUUCGUAUCGCUUGUACAGGAUAGGCAGGAGCCAAGGAAUCCGGAGCGCCAGCUUCGGAGGAGGCGCCGGUGGGAUACUGCCCUUGCGAUAUGAACAUCCUAACCUCGAACCGUGAGCCGGUUCAGGGACAGUGUCUGGUGGGCAGUUUGACUGGGGCGGUCGCCUCCCAAACAGUAACGGAGGCGCCCCAAGGUUCCCUCAGAAUGGUUGGAAAUCAUUCGCAGCGUGCAAAGGCAGAAGGGAGCUUGACUGCGAGACAGACAGGUCGAGCAGGGACGAAAGUCGGGCUUAGUGAUCCGGCGGCACCGCAUGGAAGGGCCGUCGCUCAACGGAUAAAAGCUACCCUGGGGAUAACAGGCUAAUCUCCCCCAAGAGUCCACAUCGACGGGGAGGUUUGGCACCUCGAUGUCGGCUCAUCGCAUCCUGGGGCUGAAGUCGGUCCCAAGGGUUGGGCUGUUCGCCCAUUAAAGCGGUACGCGAGCUGGGUUCAGAACGUCGUGAGACAGUUCGGUCCCUAUCCGUCGCGGGCGCAGGAAAUUUGAGAGGAGCUGUCCUUAGUACGAGAGGACCGGGAUGGACACACCGCUGGUGUACCAGUUGUUCCGCCAGGAGCAUGGCUGGGUAGCUACGUGUGGAUCGGAUAAGUGCUGAAAGCAUCUAAGCACGAAGCCGACCUCAAGAUGAGAUUUCCCGCGAGACCCCUUAAAGACGAUAAGGUAGAUAGGUCUGAGGUGGACGCGUGGCGACACGUGGAGCUGACAGAUACUAAUCGGUCAAACGGUUUAUCCAC